rnacentral:rRNA from 1 species
GACGAACGCUGGCGGCGUGCUUAACACAUGCAAGUCGAACGGAAAGGCCCUGCUUUUGUGGGGUGCUCGAGUGGCGAACGGGUGAGUAACACGUGAGUAACCUGCCCUUGACUUUGGGAUAACUUCAGGAAACUGGGGCUAAUACCGGAUAGGAGCUCCUGCUGCAUGGUGGGGGUUGGAAAGUUUCGGCGGUUGGGGAUGGACUCGCGGCUUAUCAGCUUGUUGGUGGGGUAGUGGCUUACCAAGGCUUUGACGGGUAGCCGGCCUGAGAGGGUGACCGGCCACAUUGGGAAUGAGAUACGGCCCAGACUCAUACGGGAGGCAGCAGUGGGGAAUAUUGCACAAUGGGCGGAAGCCUGAUGCAGCAACGCCGCGUGCGGGAUGACGGCCUUCGGGUUGUAAACCGCUUUCGCCUGUGACGAAGCGUGAGUGACGGUAAUGGGUAAAGAAGCACCGGCUAACUACGUG